GACGAACGCUGGCGGCGUGCUUAACACAUGCAAGUCGAACGGAAAGGCCCUGCUUGCAGGGUGCUCGAGUGGCGAACGGGUGAGUAACACGUGGGUGAUCUGCCCCUUACUUUGGGAUAAGCCUGGGAAACUGGGUCUAAUACUGGAUAGGACCAUGCUGUAGGGGGUGUGGUGGAAAGAUUAGUUUCGGUAGGGGAUGAGCUCGCGGCCUAUCAGCUUGUUGGUGGGGUAAUGGCCUACCAAGGCGUCGACGGGUAGCCGGCCUGAGAGGGUGGACGGACACAUUGGGACUGAGAUACGGCCCAGACUCCGACGGGAGGCAGCAGUGGGGAAUAUUGCACAAUGGGCGCAAGCCUGAUGCAGCGACGCCGCGUGGGGGAUGACGGCCUUCGGGUUGUAAACUCCUUUCAGCCAUGACGAAGCCCUUGUGGUGACGGUAGUGGUAGAAGAAGCACCGGCUAACUACGU
rnacentral:rRNA from 1 species